CAAAAAAAAAAAAAAAAAGUUUCUUUGGUCAGAGUACCUCCUCCCUAUCUCACCCCCACCAUUCCCCAAUCCUGUUCCUUCAUGAUAAGGGAUGUCUUAUCCCUUCCCCAUCUCUAUCUGGGUAUCUCCCUCCUCUCUGCCUCUGAAUGUUCCCAUCUCUAAUUCAGUGUCCUUCUUCCUGACAAUCUCUCUUUUUUCUCUCUUUCUCUCCUUCUCUCCAAUCUGCUUUACUCACACCAUGGCCACAGGAUGAGAACAUCAUGAGGUCCAUGCAGCUCUUUGACAAUGUCAUCUAGCUCCCCAGAAGAGGGAGUUAGUGUGUCCUGGGGGCACCAUG
rnacentral:lncRNA from 1 species